rnacentral:tRNA from 1 species
AGGGUAAUAGCUCAGUGUAGAGCGUGUGCUUAGCAUAUACGAGGUCCUAGGUUCAAUUCCUAGUAACUCCA